rnacentral:rRNA from 1 species
UACGGAGGGUGCAAGCGUUAUCCGGAUUCACUGGGUUUAAAGGGUGCGUAGGUGGGUUGGUAAGUCAGUGGUGAAAUCUCCGAGCUUAACUUGGAAACUGCCGUUGAUACUAUCAAUCUUGAAUAUCGCGUAGGUAAGCGGAAUAUGUCAUGUAGCGGUGAAAUGCUUAGAUAUGACAUAGAACACCAAUUGCGAAGGCAGCUCACUUCACGAUCAUUGACACUGAGGCACGAAAGCGUGGGGAGCAAACAGG